UAUCCCUAUGAAGAAUGAUCUGAUCAUUUUAAAGUAGUGAGCUGAUUUCCAUUGAUGAGCAGCGAAUUCUGAGGGAUA